AUUGAACGCUGGCGGGAGGCCUAACACAUGCAAGUCGAACGAGUGGCGGACGGGUGAGUAAUGUAUGGGAAACUGCCUGAUGGAGGGGGAUAACUACUCGAAACGGUAGCUAAUACCGCAUACCAUCAGAUGUGCCCAGAUGGGAUUAGCUAGUUGGUGGGGUAACGGCUCACCAAGGCGACGAUCCCUAGCUGGUCUGAGAGGACGACCAGCCACAAUGGAACUGAGACACGGUCCAGACUCCUACGGGAGGCAGCAGUGGGGAAUAUUGGACAAUGGGGGAAAGCCUGAUGCAGCCAUGCCGCGUGUAUGAAGAAGGCCUUCGGGUUGUAAAGUACUUUAAGCGGAGAGGCGUUACCCGCAGAAGAAGCACCGGCUAACUACGUGCCAGCAGCCGCGGUAAUAC
rnacentral:rRNA from 1 species